rnacentral:rRNA from 1 species
GUCGAGCGGACAGAAGGGAGCUUGCUCCCGGAUGUUAGCGGCGGACGGGUGAGUAACACGUGGGUAACCUGCCUGUAAGACUGGGAUAACUCCGGGAAACCGGAGCUAAUACCGGAUAGUUCCUUGAACCGCAUGGUUCAAGGAUGAAAGACGGUUUCGGCUGUCACUUACAGAUGGACCCGCGGCGCAUUAGCUAGUUGGUGGGGUAAUGGCUCACCAAGGCGACGAUGCGUAGCCGACCUGAGAGGGUGAUCGGCCACACUGGGACUGAGACACGGCCCAGACUCCUACGGGAGGCAGCAGUAGGGAAUCUUCCGCAAUGGACGAAAGUCUGACGGAGCAACGCCGCGUGAGUGAUGAAGGUUUUCGGAUCGUAAAGCUCUGUUGUUAGGGAAGAACAAGUGCGAGAGUAACUGCUCGCACCUUGACGGUACCUAACCAGAAAGCCACGGCUAACUACGUGCCAGCAGCCGCGGUAAUACGUAGGUGGCAAGCGUUGUCCGGAAUUAUUGGGCGUAAAGGGCUCGCAGGCGGUUUCUUAAGUCUGAUGUGAAAGCCCCCGGCUCAACCGGGGAGGGUCAUUGGAAACUGGGAAACUUGAGUGCAGAAGAGGAGAGUGGAAUUCCACGUGUAGCGGUGAAAUGCGUAGAGAUGUGGAGGAACACCAGUGGCGAAGGCGACUCUCUGGUCUGUAACUGACGCUGAGGAGCGAAAGCGUGGGGAGCGAACAGGAUUAGAUACCCUGGUAGUCCACGCCGUAAACGAUGAGUGCUAAGUGUUAGGGGGUUUCCGCCCCUUAGUGCUGCAGCUAACGCAUUAA